AUGGGUUGUGAAAGCUUGACGGAGCUUUUUGUUCUUCCCGCAUCUCUCACGACAAUUUCCAUUUUGGUCUGCGGUAGUCUUGAGUCCAUUCUGGGGCAGGAUGAUAGAGAGUCAGAGAGUCUACCACAGUUCAAUACAGAAUCAUCGCCGGAACACUGCAAUGACCAUGCAUCCACAAGUAUGCCAGAGCAAUCACCAUCACCAAGUACUAAUCCUUUGCCAUGUCUCAAGUUUUUAACUAUACGUGGCUGUAAGAAGCUUCGUUUCCUGCCAGCGAAGUUGGAUAUGCUUGAAUAUCCGGAUAUUGAUGGUUGCAAUGGACUAACGUCGCUGGAUUGUUUGGGACAACUGCCAUUUCUGAAUUCACUAGUUCUUGUGAAAUGCAAACACCUGUCAUCUGUACCAGGUAGUGACGGGAAUUACUCAGCCCUUCAGAGGCUCAGUAUUCAAUACUGCCCAGCUAUAAAUAAGAAGCCACUUUAUGGACGUCUCCAACAACGGCGCGAGAGCCUUGAGUACAAGGAUCUAACUAACGCUGUUUCAUGCGAUCCUGAUGAAGGGCCUAAACUAUGGGAACCAAAAUCCUGGAAAUAUAUGGUUCCUUCACUGCGCAAGCGUGAGUCUGAAUAG
rnacentral:rRNA from 1 species